rnacentral:rRNA from 1 species
CCUACGGGCGGCAGCAGUGAGGAAUAUUGGUCAAUGGACGAGAGCCUGAACCAGCCAAGUAGCGUGAAGGAUGACUGCCCUAUGGGUUGUAAACUUCUUUUAUAUGGGAAUAAAAUGUUCCACGUGUGGGAUUUUGUAUGUACCAUAUGAAUAAGGAUCGGCUAACUCCGUGCCAGCAGCCGCGGUAAUACGGAGGAUCCGAGCGUUAUCGGGAUUUAAUGGGUUUAAAGGGAGCGUAGGUGGGUUGUUAAGUCAGUUGUGAAAGUUUGCGGCUCAACCGUAAAAUUGCAGUUGAAACUGGCAUUCUUGAGUACAGUAGAGGUAGGCGGAAUUCGUGGUGUAGCGGUGAAAUGCGUAGAUAUCACGAAGAACUCCGAUUGCGAAGGCAGCUUACUGGACUGCAACUGACGCUGAGGCUCGAAAGUGUGGGUAUCAAACAGGAUUAGAUACCCUAGUAGUC